rnacentral:ncRNA from 1 species
UACCCGCACCCUUCACACCUCCCUGUUGGACUUGGCCGAGCUUCGCGCUCGGCCUUUUUU